rnacentral:rRNA from 1 species
CUUAACACAUGCAAGUCGAGGGGCAGCAUGAACUUAGCUUGCUAAGUUUGAUGGCGACCGGCGCACGGGUGAGUAACACGUAUCCAACCUGCCGAUGACUCGGGGAUAGCCUUUCGAAAGAAAGAUUAAUACCCGAUGGCAUAGUUCUUCCGCAUGGUAGAACUAUUAAAGAAUUUCGGUCAUCGAUGGGGAUGCGUUCCAUUAGGUUGUUGGCGGGGUAACGGCCCACCAAGCCUUCGAUGGAUAGGGGUUCUGAGAGGAAGGUCCCCCACAUUGGAACUGAGACACGGUCCAAACUCCUACGGGAGGCAGCAGUGAGGAAUAUUGGUCAAUGGACGAGAGUCUGAACCAGCCAAGUAGCGUGAAGGAUGACUGCCCUAUGGGUUGUAAACUUCUUUUAUACGGGAAUAAAGUGAGGCACGUGUGCCUUUUUGUAUGUACCGUAUGAAUAAGGAUCGGCUAACUCCGUGCCAGCAGCCGCGGUAAUACGGAGGAUCCGAGCGUUAUCCGGAUUUAUUGGGUUUAAAGGGAGCGUAGGCGGACGCUUAAGUCAGUUGUGAAAGUUUGCGGCUCAACCGUAAAAUUGCAGUUGAUACUGGGUGUCUUGAGUACAGUAGAGGCAGGCGGAAUUCGUGGUGUAGCGGUGAAAUGCUUAGAUAUCACGAAGAACUCCGAUUGCGAAGGCAGCUUGCUGGACUGUAACUGAC